AACGAACGCUGGCGGCACGCCUAACACAUGCAAGUCGAACGGUAACGGCUCUUCGGAGGCCGACGAGUGGCGGACGGGUGAGUAACACGUGGAGACCUGCCCUGGGGUACGGGACAACAGUUGGAAACGACUGCUAAUACCGUAUACGCCCUACGGGAGAAAGAUUUAUUGCCCUUGGAGGGGUCCGCGUCGGAUUAGCUAGUUGGUGGGGUAAAGGCCUACCAAGGCGACGAUCCGUAGCUGUUCUUAGAGGAAGAUCAGCCACACUGGGACUGAGACACGGCCCAGACUCCUACGGGAGGCAGCAGUGAGGAAUAUUGCGCAAUGGGGGGCAACCCUGACGCAGCGAUGCCGCGUGAGUGAAGAAGGCCUUCGGGUUGUAAAGCUCUUUCAGUAGGGAAGAUUGUGACGGUACCUACAGAAGAAGCUCCGGCUAACUCCGUGCCAGCAGCCGCGGUAAUU
rnacentral:rRNA from 1 species